rnacentral:sRNA from 1 species
GCCUUCGCGAUUUCGGUGGUGAUCUCGCGAUCAUGGUUGUAGACCCGUA